rnacentral:rRNA from 1 species
CCUACGGGCGGCUGCAGUGGGGAAUAUUGGACAAUGGGCGAAAGCCUGAUCCAGCCAUGCCGCGUGUGUGAAGAAGGCCUUCGGGUUGUAAAGCACUUUCAGUGGGGAAGAAAGCCUUGGGGCUAAUACCCUCGAGGAAGGACAUCACCCACAGAAGAAGCACCGGCUAACUCCGUGCCAGCAGCCGCGGUAAUACGGAGGGUGCGAGCGUUAAUCGGAAUUACUGGGCGUAAAGCGCGCGUAGGCGGUCUGAUAAGCCGGUUGUGAAAGCCCCGGGCUCAACCUGGGAACGACAUCCGGAACUGUCAGGCUAGAGUGCAGGAGAGGAAGGUAGAAUUCCCGGUGUAGCGGUGAAAUGCGUAGAGAUCGGGAGGAAUACCAGUGGCGAAGGCGGCCUUCUGGACUGACACUGACGCUGAGGUGCGAAAGCGUGGGUAGCAAACAGGAUUAGAUACCCGUGUAGUC